CCUACGUGCGUCAGCAGUGAGGAAUAUUGGUCAAUGGGCGCGAGCCUGAACCAGCCAAGUAGCGUGAAGGAUGACUGCCCUACGGGUUGUAAACUUCUUUUAUAAAGGAAUAAAGUGAGGCACGUGUGCCUUUUUGUAUGUACUUUAUGAAUAAGGAUCGGCUAACUCCGUGCCAGCAGCCGCGGUAAUACGGAGGAUACGAGUGUUAUCCGGAUUUAUUGGGGUUAAAGGGAGCGUAGAUGGUUGUUAAGUCAGUUGUGAAAGUUUGCGGCUCAACCGUAAAAUUGCAAUUGAUACUGGCAGUCUUGAGUACAGUUGAGGUAGGCGGAAUUCGUGGUGUAGCGGUGAAAUGCUUAGAUAUCACGAAGAACUCCGAUUGCGAAGGCAGCUUACUAAACUGCCACUGACAUUGAUGCUCGAAAGUGUGGGUAUCAAACAGGAUUAGAUACCCUAGUAGUC
rnacentral:rRNA from 1 species